AUGUGGAUCAAUCCGGCUUUAUCAAAGGACGGUGUAUCUCGGAAAACUUCAUUCUCGCAGCUGAUAUUGUGCAAAGCUUGCCACAAAAGAAAAUGCCCGGCCUUAGUCUUAAAAUUGGAUUUUAGGAAAGCCUUUGACUCUGUCUCUUGGGAGAGUCUUUAUCGUAUCCUUCAAGCCAAAGGCUUUUCAGAAACUUGGAUUCGUUGGAUUAUGAUGCUGAACGACUCUGGCCAAUCGGCUAUUCUUCUUAACGCCGUUCCUGGGAACUGGAUUCAAUGUAAAAAUGGUCUCAGACAAGGCGACCCCAUUUCACCUUACCUCUUCAUCAUUAUUGCCAAUAUCCUCCAACGCAUGAUC
rnacentral:rRNA from 1 species